rnacentral:rRNA from 1 species
GAUGAACGCUGGCGGCGUGCCUAAUACAUGCAAGUCGAGCGAACAGACGAGGAGCUUGCUCCUCUGACGUUAGCGGCGGACGGGUGAGUAACACGUGGAUAACCUACCUAUAAGACUGGGAUAACUUCGGGAAACCGGAGCUAAUACCGGAUAAUAUAUUGAACCGCAUGGUUCAAUAGUGAAAGACGGUUUUGCUGUCACUUAUAGAUGGAUCCGCGCCGCAUUAGCUAGUUGGUAAGGUAACGGCUUACCAAGGCAACGAUGCGUAGCCGACCUGAGAGGGUGGACGGCCACACUGGAACUGAGACACGGUCCAAACCCCUACGGGAGGCAACAGUAGGGAAUCUUCCGCAAUGGGCGAAAGCCUGACGGAGCAACGCCGCGUGAGGGAUGAAGGUCUUCGGAUCGUAAAACUCUGUUAUUAGGGAAGAACAAAUGUGUAAGUAACUAUGCACGUCUUGACGGUACCUAAUCAGAAAGCCACGGCUAACUACGUG